CCUACGGGUGGCUGCAGUGGGGAAUAUUGGACAAUGGGGGGAACCCUGAUCCAGCCAUGCCGCGUGUGUGAAGAAGGCCCUCGGGUUGUAAAGCACUUUCAGUGAGGAAGAACGCCUGGUGGUUAAUACCCAUCAGGAAAGACAUCACUCACAGAAGAAGCACCGGCUAACUCCGUGCCAGCAGCCGCGGUAAUACGGAGGGUGCGAGCGUUAAUCGGAAUUACUGGGCGUAAAGCGCGCGUAGGUGGCUUGAUAAGCCGGUUGUGAAAGCCCCGGGCUCAACCUGGGAACGGCAUCCGGAACUGUCAAGCUAGAGUGCAGGAGAGGAAGGUAGAAUUCCCGGUGUAGCGGUGAAAUGCGUAGAGAUCGGGAGGAAUACCAGUGGCGAAGGCGGCCUUCUGGACUGACACUGACACUGAGGUGCGAAAGCGUGGGUAGCAAACAGGAUUAGAUACCCUUGCAGUC
rnacentral:rRNA from 1 species